UACCCAGAGGCUCCAGCAUUGGUGUCUUCCCUUCUCAAUGGCUUUUCUGGUGUCCGCUCCAGGAGUCUCCUUGGCCAGCCAUGAAAUACGUGGAAAUUAGAGAAUCUACUGCAUAUAUUCUUCUUGAAAAUUUCUAUCACACAUGCUCAGAACUUUCUGAAUAAGCAUAAGGAUUUGAAGGUACUAACAAGCAGGAAACAAGCCGAAAGGACGGGAGGUAGGUUGAGAAGAGGCCAUGGAAUAUCCACCAACCAGAUAAUCAUCGCCUGAUCAUUGAGAAGUGUCUGAAUGUAGGCUGCAGAAGUCCCGAAGGUUGAUGGAGGGCCAUGCUAUUCAAACAGCAGGCGUGGCUGAGACAGAAGCUCCUGGUGCUGGGAAGCCUUGCCGUUGGGAGUCUGCUGUAUCUAGUCGCCAGAGUUGGGAGCUUG